AUACUUCUUAUACUUUUUACUGCCUGCAGUAUUUCUUGAAUAUCACUUUGAUUAGUACAAUUGAGAUAACAAGACCCAACACUAAUAGUUAUGUGGCAAUAAUUCCACAAUAACAGAAAUACAUAUAUAUUUUUUUAAUCCCAUUUUAUUCCUCAGGUCUGGUCACCACGUUCUUUUCUGUAAAUGUUUCUGUUGUUGCCUCGUGAGAGUGGUGACCUCCACAUUUUAACAUUAAUGGCCUUUAUGUCUGGUGCGAUUUAUGUAUUGUCCCUUUGGUUUAAUGUGAUUGUUUGUAUAUUAAUGAUUAUUUUCACUAUUACUAUGAGAUAAUCUUCCCAUGAGAGGCAAAUAUUUUACACCCUUUUUUUACUGUAUUUGUUCUAUUUGUAUUUAUUGUCAAUAAAAGUACAUUAAAACACUGAUGAUAUGCAUGUUAUAGAGUACAUCUGUACAGACUGACAUUCCUCAUCAUGUCACAUACAUACAUAGAUACAUACAUAAAUACAAUAUU